GUCCCACCACAUUUCAGAAUUUGUGUUUUUCAAGACUCUUGAGGGUAACUACACAAGGCGUAAGAGAGCAAUGGAUUCGCAGGGUACCCUUCACCAGUCCACCGAAGUAUCUGUAGAACAGACAUGGAGAAAUGGAGCUGGUGGAAGGUAGGCAGAAGGGAGUCUGAAGAUCUUCAGUUGUACCGAUCCUGGACUAGGUGCUUACUGAAGGCCAACCGCUUCUCAAGCUUUAGGAAGAUACUUGUGGUUGUAUGUGAGGGAAAGCAGCAAAGAACUGCCAGGAGUACUUUUACUUACAGUGACCCUUUCACAGCAACUCCGGCAAGUGAGCUUGCAUUAUGAUGUCCUGGGAAACUUUAAGUUGCUUAUAUCCUAUGAAGUGAUAUCACCGAAAUGAAACAGCAGGUCACGGUGUCACAGCUGGAAAUCUUGAAUCCAUCAUAACAAGAUCUCCAAGUUUCCAAUUCAAAAAGCUGUGAAGCGCUGAAGUAUUUUUCUUCCUAAGUGUAUUUAGCUUAGGGUUCUGCUUUCUGUGGUUCGUUGUGAAUAGGAUUUGAUGUUAAUCUAGAUAAGGUUUCUCAUGAAAACUCUAGCUGCGAUGGUGCUGUGCAUGGAAAAAGUACGAAAAGCUGUGGCACAGUACUGUCUACCCUGGAGGCAGGGUUACUUUGCCAUGCUGCCAUGCCAUGGAUUCUUUACAAGCUAUGGAAGUACAUGAAAUACCAAAAUGUUACAAUUUUGAUGACAGGAAAGCAUGGAUCAGGAAGGAGAUGUGACACAGGUGGUAACAGCUUGUGGCAGAGCACGAUUUAUGAACUUAAGAUCAAGCAAGAGAUCCAGGAUACAUGAGGAGAGGAUCUUCUAAAAUAUAUACUGUGUUUAAAAGAUUUUAUCAUUAAGGCAAACAACAAUACCACGCAAACAGGUGCGUGGAAGAGAACCUUUAUCAAGAAAUCUUACAUUCAAGCUUUUGCUGUUUGACCAAUGGAUUUCAACAUCCUUGCAGCUCUACUAGUUUACUGACAAGAAUAGUGGUAGAAGAACGAUGCUGAAGUGGUUUGGAUAGACCUAGGGCCUCAAGCCUCCAGGUCUUCCAGAAGAUGGAUAAACUUGAACAAAAGGGCACACACUUCAGAAGUACCACUUCCUACAAGUACUUCAGUGGAAAAGGAAGUUUAGUCUGUCUAGCAUCAGUUGUCUAAAUAUUGUCUUCUACAACGAAACCACUAAUUGAAACUGCUAAUAGGGACAAUGACUCUAUUAGUAGAACUAGCAUCCAGUUAAUGUGGAAGCCCAAAUCCAGCAGCAGAUUUACAUCCAUACAAAAUCCCAUGUCCCCUUGUCAACCACAGAAUGAUUUGGUUUCCCUCAAUCCCUUCAGCUAACUACAGUUCAUUUAAGAGAUUAGUAUUUUCUCAGAGCUCACUCAAGAUGUGUCUGUGGAGGAGAAAAGAAAUAAUCACAGUCUUCACACAAAAGAAGUUAGGAAAUACUCUGCUAUGCAUCUUUGGCAGAUUUUCCUCCCCAGAUUAGUAAAUCCAACUAGGAUUAAUCUGCUUAACCAGAAAGAUUAUUAAACACUGUUAAGCUGCAAAAUACUAUCUGAGAAAUUUUGUUAUGAUCAGGAGAAAUAAAAGUUAAGCAAUGAACUCUCUAACACUUGGCAUAUAAACCACAAAGCACUAUUUCUUGAAGAUAAGAGUCACAAGACCAGUUUUUUAGUGCCAACUGUAGGUGCCUGGAGAACAAGGAGUAACCUGAUACAGUCUCAGGUAAAUCUGAUACACCUCAAUAUCCACAUGCUGUAGCCACUUCUUUUAGUCCUAUUGUUUAUGUUGCGGGGAAACAAAAAGAAGAUGGAGAUGGGGGAAUUGAAGGUCUUCUUCAAAGAAGUAAAAGGAAUAUGAAGCAGUCAGGAGGCUCACAAGUGGUCACCUAAGAAAUCUUGGGCAGAAAAAGGGGGAAUUAAUUCAGCUCUGAUUUCAACAGACAAGUUGAAACAGAAAAAAAUAGCCAGCUUUUUCCUCUUGACUCUCUGUACCUGAUUUAUCAGCACCAGAACUCACUAUGUACUGAGAGAGAGUUUUGCAUAUAGAAAACACCAGAAGGAAAAAUUGUUAAAUGCUACAUUUCCCAAUAUGUUAACAUAGGGUUAAUAUAAAGUCAUAAUUUUACUGCUUGAAAAAAUAAAGAUGAUGGCUUUAUCCUCCAAUACAGUGCAACUGAAGUAAAAGAAUUAAUAAUAAGUAGUAAUAAAAUAAACAAAUUCAUUCCCCUGCAUAACCCUGGAAGAAAGUUUGUUCAUGAACUGCAUGGCAGCGUAUGUCUCUAAAAGCUACCAGGAGGAUAUGAAAUAAAAUCUCUUCCCAGCACUUCACACUCUUCCACAUAACAGAUUUCAAGAGAAACAAACAAGUUGUACGGGAUAUUGAUGAGACUCUGAAUAAUCCCUCUUUUCAUCAGGAUCCAGACUGAGUUCCAAAAGCUGCCUGGAACAUGCCUAGCUAUUUCUGUUCCUCAGCAAUACAGUCAUGGAAAGUUUUCCAUGUACCACAGCAAGGCCACAGAGCAAACAGUUUAUCACUGAAUGCCUGAAUUUGCGCAAUAAACAACAAAGAGUGAGUAAUACAGGACAAAACCUUGAAAAAUGAAAUUUGGACUCUAAUUACCUGGUCAGAUGCUCUAUUGAAUGGGUUGUGUGGGGUAAUUUCUCAUUUAGAGAACAAAAGCCAGUCCUCUUUGUCUGGACUCUAAUCUUGGUUUUAUAGUGGAUUGUUAUCAGUGCUUUUUUCUCUGGAAUGCAGUUUCUCUGCACAGAUUUAAAAGAAUAAGUCUUUUUCUAUUCCUCUGAGAAAAUAGUACAUUAUAUAGCUUCUCCUGUAUAGUUUUUGUCCAUAUUUGGGGUGAAAAGCAACCAGCUUAAUUCUCAGCUAUACUUUGGUUUCCUUCAGCUCCCUGGCAAGAAGACUAUGCAGAAUCCCUACAGAAGGCCUUCCCCAGCAGGGCUGAAUUGGCAUUAAGGCUCUUCAGUCUUUUUCCCCCCUUCCCAUUCUCCUCCAUCUACAGCUUUUAAAGCACAAGCAUACAACCUUACAGCCCCUCGAGAUGCACCAGAAUUCCCAACCAGAGGUCAUGAACCAAACAGAUUUUGGCCACAAGGCACAUACCUGUAUUAUUCAGGAACAAGAGCUAGCAAAGGAAAUCCCAGAGUAUACCACAGGCACACAGCAACUAGAGCUGUUAAGAUUCAGAGACGUUUCCUGGUAAAAUUGGCAGGCAGCUGUGUUAAAGAGCAAAUGAGCAGUGUCAAUCAAGCCCAGUGGCUCCUGCUGUGCUGCACUUCACAGCUGAGGAGCUGCAAAACUCACAGUCGCCCGUUGGGGUGCCUUUGCUACUCAGAUGCCAAUAUGGGAGCAACAAAUUGCUUACGAGCCAUAGGUUUGAUUACUCCUAAGACAGAAUGAUUUUAAAUCAUAAAGAACAGCAAGAUUCAGAACAUGGUACUUCUGUAACUUUCCUAAGAAGACCAGUACAAAUCCAGAGGAAAAAUCAGACAAAGCAAGGAUGACUUGCCCCACUUUGUUAUCCACCUUAAAGAUAUAUAGAGACAAGAAGACCUCAUGGUUUCAUCUUAUUCAAGUCUUUCCAUAUCUUCCCCGCAUUUUUCUUUCUACAGCAGCUCACUGAAGUACUUUGGGAAGGUCCACUUUGUCACUGUGUGAUCAUACUAAUGCAAAUGUAAGACUUCUCCAAAAAGUCAGCCCAGAGAUGCUGAGCUGAAUGGAAAGUACACACUGAUCAAAUAUUUACUAUUGCUACCGGGGAUGGAGUCGAGAGGUGGUGUUUCCAUGACGUUUUGUUCCUGUAAAACCAAGAACUGUUCUAUAAACUUCGAAUGUCACUUGCAAUUGCUAAACUCACACCAGAGGAAAGCAAAGAGAUUCAGAAAGGAUGAGAUUACUUUUUCUUGGGGUAUCACACAUAAAUAAUACUUAUUGGUGAAUGCCAUCAAAAAAUGAAUCCUCAUGAUGGCUGUGAGAAGCAACUGAUUAUAACAAGAGAAUUUACAUGUAAGAGCAGGGUGACACAGAGACUCAGCGCAAGGUUAUCUUGCUCUGUUCUACUCUAAUGGCAUAUGUGCAUAGCUGUGAGUUUAUUUUAAAAAGGAUAUUCAUAUUCCAAAAAUCUGCUAAGAAUAAUAAUCUAUAAAUUCUAGGUGUUUCCAUAUCACCCAUUGGCCAGAGCUCUCAGAACAAUCUAUGAGAAUCAGUGAAUAAAAAAUUUUUACAGCCUCUAAACUGCAUCAAGUCAUUUCUCACCAUCUCUUUGAAAGCUGCUGAGAGAGACAUGGAAUUAGGCAUAAGUUGGCUGGACACGCAGAGAGAGCAAACAGGGACAAGAAAUGUGAAAUAUAUGCCAUAUUCAAGGCAGCAACAGUGGAAAAUUCAAAAUAAAGUGUAAAAGUUCAGCACAAGAGAUUAAAAUAAUUCCAGCAGCUGAUUUUUUUCUGGCAGAGCAGAAGUUUGUCUCUUAUAAGCAGUGUGCAGAUAGCCUGAAACAGCUGCCUUCACCCUAUUUUCUGUUUCUUUGCACCCUUCUGGGGGUACAACAAACAGAAUCAAAACAGUUUGGCAUUGAGCAUAAUCAGUUGCGCCUGCAGUGCAACUACAACUACAGCUCAGCUUUGGGAUAGAUGGAGAUUUCACUUAUCCUUUUAUACAUUAUUUUAUAUACAGUCUGCAAUUAAUUAUCACAAAUGUUAUAAAACAGAAAAGAAAGUCAGAAUUGCUGGAGUGGCUUUAUACCACUGUUUCUACUCUACUCCACAGUGCCUCUGCAGAGACACAUAAUUUAUCACACUGGGCAAAGUACUUUUAAAAUUGCUGUUAAUAAAGAGUAAGUCCUACACUGCGAUUUACCUAAGCCUCCCCUGCAAUAACUUAGAAGUGGAGAUACUGCAUAAAAUUGCUUUCAUUCUGCAGAAUGGAAGACAGCAGCAAGUCAAACACAAAAGAAGCAUUUUUGAUUAUAACUUGAUUUUAGAUGCUUCCUACUUGUUACAGCAGCCCAUCCCACCUCUAGCUAGAGAAUAUCACACAGUGUUUUAGAAGAGCACUUACUAAAGCAUCGUUAUAUUCCCUCAGAAGUAAAAAAAAUAUUAAAAGUGAAUAGACACAGUGAUGAUGCAUUUCACCCCACAGAGCAUCCAUUUUUCUUGAAGAAUUUCCAGACAAGCCUAUAUGUUCACGCAUAUUAUAUUUAGCAAGUUUUUGCUAGCAUCUGAUUUAGACGUGACUAUAAACCUCUGAAGGCUACUGUAAAAUGCAUACUCGGAAAUCCCUUGUUUCUGUUGUUUUGUUGUUGUUAUGUUUAAAGACUCUUCCCUCCAGGAAUUUGCUGUGGUCAUAACUCUUCAUCACUAACUCACUGUACUAAAUCUGCUGUAAAAACAAGAAGUCAGUGCCUUCUCCAUUUCCUUUUCAAGAACAGUGUUUUAUGAUGUUUUAAUUAAUCUCCUUUUAGCUUAACAAUUUAACAACUAAUUUGAGCAUACUUUCAUUGCUUUGUUACCCCAACUUCAAAGUCCAAGUAGCUGGCCACGAGCACGCAAGCCUUGAUGCUCAUUACAUAACCCUAGGUGGCUUCAUUUCUGGAUGUAUCACUCAACAGCCUUUUUUUUCCUUAAGAUGUUCCCAUAACACACAUAUAUUUAUGUUUUAACAAGCACAGAAAGGCUAGAAACUGCACUAUCUGCAUCAAAAGAUCUUGGGGGCUGCAAACAAAAACAGCUCAGGCUCUACUGUGCAAUAAAAGCAAUGUUGAGACAGCACUGAUAUUUUCAAGGGACAAUUUAUAGCAGAACUUACAGUAGUAACAAAAAUGUACGAACACCCACUGUUCAUGGCACGAGCAGGGCUCAAGAAUGGAUGAGAAGGAAGCACAUGGUUCAGAUAUGAUUGAGAACCAAGAAGCAACAAAUCCAACUGCACAGUCUGGUAGCAGUACAACCAAAGGGCUGGAGAAAACUUUCCACUUUUCAAGUCUCCCAAGAAUCAAAAAUAUUUUGGCAGAUGCUUGAGGCAGGAAACAAAGAAGUUUUAUUUGAGGCCUCAAAUAUUAUUUAUAAAAAUGUCUGCUUAUAGUAAUCUUCAAUGAGAACCUCAUGCAAUCACAACUGUAUGACGAAUUUUUUCAAAGACAUAACUUAAUUAUACCAAAGUUGCCUAACAUAUUUACAUCUCUAAUUCUCUCUCAUAUAUGUAUAUAUAUGUGUGUGUGUGUGUGAGUGUAAUUAUAUAAGUAUCUAUAAACUAAUUUGUUUGCUUUUAAAAUGCAUUACUAAUAAAUCAAAACAUCCUUCUGAUUGCACUAGACCGGUUUAAACAUUGAUCUCUAGAGCACUGACAAACAUUAUUUUUGUGGGUUUGGAGAGCUGCAAAUACUUGCAGCUUACAAAUCCUUUCUUGCAGAAAAGCAGCGUCCAGCAGUUAAACACAGGGCCAUUCUCUGAGAGUGAUUCACUAUAGGUGAGCCCCCAAAGAAGCAGAGUAGUGGAUAGUGGCCAACAGCAGCAUUUUCUGGAAAGGUUAAAAAAGGAGCCCUGAAGACAAAAAUAGGUGGUGUUUAAAGCAAACAGUACACCGGCAGCAUUCACAGCCUGGCGCUCAGCGUUAACCACAGUCCAGAUACAGAUUACAUUUUCUCCCUGCAAACAGGAGCAUGUUCUCAGUCAAAGUGAUCUGAUGCAAGGGGCCUGAUAUAAGAUGCAGCCUGACCUUGGCAACAUGUUAUCUCCAUGGGGAACCACAUCUUGUGAGCACUCUGCCCUCCUUGCUCCGGAAUGGCAGAGACUGGCCACCUGCAUGGGGACGUGCAGCCAGCCACUGGAGGAGGCCUCCUGGCUAGCACUGGCCACCUCAGGCAGUCGCUGACGCAGGAGGGAUUUUGGCAGCAUUUUGCAUGUCUGAGGGCUGGCUGUUCAAUAGCUGUGACUCCCAG
ensembl:lncRNA